AAAAAGAUAAAUCCUGGGUUUCCGUGUCCAACGUUGACUGUUCGUCUUAUAUGAAAUUUUUUUAUAAUUAGUAUUUUCAUUGUUGUUAGAUGAUAAAACAUGAUUAAUAUUUUAUGCGUGACUUAUCUUUUUAAUUUUUUUCAUAAUUUUUUUAAAUAAGACGAACGGUCAAAUAUUGGAUACGGAAACUCAG
rnacentral:pre_miRNA from 1 species